UGGUAACAAAACAUUUGUGAGAGAGUGACUCACACAUUAGCAUGGCAGGGUGUUCCAGUGCUUGAGAGAGUGUUGAGUAAUACUUCACUUACCAUACCGUAUAUACUGUAGUUCCCACAGUUCACUGACCAGGAAGGCUUGUUAACAAAACAUUUGGCAAACCUGACAUUGACAUUGAAUGAUGUCUUAACUGUCAUGGUGGUUCUUUGAAGCAAACACAUACUGACAAGAAUUUUCAGCUAGACUCUCAGGACAGCUCCACAGAAAUGUUCACUGGCAUGUUGCAAGUCAACAGGCCACUCUGUCAAACACUGGUAUCAAGGUGUGGUCUUCUAAAUGGGUGAGGGAGUUGAAAGACCCAUAUGUUACCAUGGCAUUAUAUUCCCAGUGUGUGAGAGAAAGCAGAGUGAACCAUUCGUUACCAUGGUUAGGCAGAACAGUUUUAUAUCAAGCUAACUAAAAUGACCUGUUUGGGGUCUCUCUUUUUCAAAAGUCACGAUAUGGCUGAAAUAUUGCCGAUGUGACUUUAAAUCUUAACU